rnacentral:rRNA from 1 species
GACGAACGCUGGCGGCGUGCUUAACACAUGCAGGUCGAACGGAAAGGCCCUGCUUUUGUGGGGUGCUCGAGUGGCGAACGGGUGAGUAACACGUGAGUAACCUGCCCUUGACUUUGGGAUAACUUCAGGAAACUGGGGCUAAUACCGGAUAGGAGCUCCUGCUGCAUGGUGGGGGUUGGAAAGUUUCGGCGGUUGGGGAUGGACUCGCGGCUUAUCAGCUUGUUGGUGGGGUAGUGGCUUACCAAGGCUUUGACGGGUAGCCGGCCUGAGAGGGUGACCGGCCACAUUGGGACUGAGCUACGGCCCAGACUCCUACGGGAGGCAGCAGUGGAGAAUAUUGCACAAUGGGCGGAAGCCUGAUGCAGCAACGCCGCGUGCGGGAUGACGGCCUUCGGGUUGUAAACCGCUUUCGCCUGUGACGAAGCGUGAGUGACGGUAAUGGGUAAAGAAGCACCGGCUAACUACGUG